rnacentral:misc_RNA from 1 species
AUAUUGCUAAUUGAUUAAAAAAAAAAUUAUUUUAUUGAUAUUAUUAUCAGACGGAAUAUCUCUAAUUUAUGACGUCAUAAAGCUAUGAAAAAAGAAGAAGACAUCUGGUGAGUGAUGAUCAAAAUGAAGUUGCUGGCACUCUGUAUAGCCCCCACACACCAAGUCACCAACACACAAUCACACCCCUAUGAGUCACACACUCAAGUCAACUAGCGUUUGUCUCAAUUUCAUGUUUUUGCUGGAUUUUAGCCAGCAAGAUUUCCAAGUAGAGUUUUGUUGUUUUUCAGUGACCCAGGUUUGCCAAUAAUCUUGCCAGCUGAGCACUUGCACUCGGUCGUGCUUUGUCCAGGAUUCUGGUUACGUGGGACUAAAGAUGGAUGAUUCCUGGGCCUUACCCUUUAAUCCCGAUGGUUUUCAGGAUUUUGUUUUUGAAGUGAAUCCCCAAAAUGGGCAGACGGUCACUGCAGGGGGACUCGAAGAGGAUGGCUUUGACCAAGAGCAACGUGCGAGAAGUGGAAUGUAUGAGGAAACUGGGAGGUCUGUCUCUCAAACGGAGACCAAACACCACACACCUUCCCCAAUUCCUACCUCGUCAGCAGCCGAAUGUCUUCCCGCUGCAAUCAAAUCAGUUGUGCCCGCGGCCGAAACACCACGUGGGCGUCCGAAAAAGGCCGCAAAGUCAGCUUUGGACCUGAAGAUCGACAAAUUGUUGAAUCUACACAAAUCCAUCCGUCAGGGUCGCCGCCGUAAAUUAUCGCUCCCAGGCGACGGGCGUCGUAAUGGAAUGAUGUUAAGUGCCAUACAACGACUGUUGUCAUUGAAAACCGAUCAAGGGAAAAUCCCCCGCGAGGCCAGUGAAUUGGUGGCAGCUGGAGUUGCCGAGAAAGACGUUGGUGCCGUUGAGGUAAUGCUCUGUCUUCCGGAGUCCAAUCUUAAUUCGAAGAUCAGUUUUCCGGCCAAUUUGGCCUCUCUUACUGGGUUAAGAGGACUUCUGCUAAGUCUAGAGGGCGAGGAGUCUGUCGAAGUGAAAAAAGAAAACGGAAUCUCUGAGACGGAAGUGAACUGCUUGGGAGAUCCAGUUGAGGAUCAAAAGCUGCUGUUUGUACUUAACAAGUGCUUUCGAUCAUGGGCCAGACCGUAUUUUGAUAUCGAGGCUCCUGUUGAUGAGAAGAAGAGAAUGGACUAAGUCUGGUCAAAUCCCGCUAAGGACGCGAGACACGCGACUCGUAUUUCGAUUAAAUUUUCGUAUGUAUUUACGUCUGUAUAUAUUGUUUUCAAAAUUCUUGAAACUGAUAACCGUUAUCAUAAUUUUAGAAACCCUUGUCUAGUACAUGGUCAAAAUUUAUUUCUUAAACAUCAAAAUUUAUUUGUUUACAUUCAAGUUAAAAAUUACCUUAUUAGCUACUUUAAUACUUCACUUAUACAAAGUUCUUCUUGAAUACUCGAUGAAAUCAUAGGCCUACUAAACUCAUUUUUACCCGCGCAUUAUUUUCAGUGGAACUCUGGAUGGUAACGUUACUGUACGACGGAAUAAAUUAGUUUUUAUUAUUUUUCAAAUCAGACACUAGAACGGCAUAAUUUCAGGGUCGACCCCAGAAUUUAUUUUGGCCAUUUUGUUGAAGUUACAACAAACCGGAAUAACUAGAACUAAAAAAUUCGGACACUAGAAAGCGAUCAUUUCUUUCUAGACCCCACAUUAAAAGUAAUUUGGUCAAAGCGGACAGUAGCUGUUUUAGCCGUCAGAAUGGAAAGCACAUAGAACUUUGAAAUCCUUAAACGUUAAUACGUGUUCAUGGCCGACCCUAGAACGAAAAAAUUUACUAUUUCUGGACGGCUAUUGAGUACACAUUUGUUAACCGUUAGUGGACUGUUGAGUCGGAAGUUUUGAAAGUUUUAAUGAUCGACCUUGCUAUUCAACGUAUAACAGGCUCACUCUGUCCGCUAGUCGAUGGAUUCCGGCACCUUCCAGCAAACUUCGUCGACGUUUGGACUCAACAGCAAGGGCCACGCCAUUCCGUCCAUGGGCGACAUUUAAAAGUACGCGCAGAGCAACCUCAAAAUCCACAAGAAGUUCAGCGAGAAUUUUUCGAUCCGUAAUAUACGGUUGGUUCAAGAAUCCGAUACGAUUCCAUCCGCAAGCCUAUGCUUCCGCUGGAAGGCAAGACGCUGAAGAGGGAGACCUGCGAUUUUUUCAUGUGAUUGCAUAUUUACACGGGUGAUUGCAAGUGCAAGCCGGGCCUGACGUACGACUCUAUUACUCUGCAACUAAUUGCAAUCACGCCUAGAAGAAUAAUAAGCCGGUCAUGUAAUUGCAUAUCUGCUGUCAGACGACAGAGAAUCUUCGCUUGAUUCGUUAAAAUUAUGCGCAAGAUUGCAUGCUUCAUGGUAUGAAUUUGAAAUCUGAAUCGAUAUGCACUUUGCCGAGAUUUAGAACUUAAUUUAAAGUUUGGGGAAUUUCCUUCUGUAGUUGCAUACAUGAUAUGAUAUGUAUAAAUGGAUGAUUCGGUGCAAUAACUCACACAUCUCGCCCAGGAAAUGAACUUUCCGUCAUUUUGCCUUUCUUUUGAAAAUCUUGUCGUCAAUGUCAAUGAGAUUCAUCACAUUUGAGUCCAACUUAAUUAAUUGGUGAUAACUCGGUUGGAUACAGAGAUUUCCCAUAUCGCUGAAGCUGAACAUUAUAUCUUAUA